UAACGGUCUCCAUUAUCUCUCAACGUCUCUCUCUGGUCACUAGAAAACAAAGAAAGAAAAAACUCUUAAAGAAAAAACAAUACUCUCCUUAAGAACGCUCUCUCUGUUGAGCAUAAAUGAAAAAGAGAAAAAAAGAAGAAAAAAGAAAAGAAAGAAAAUAGAAGAGAUUAAAUCUUCUCCCUUUCUCCCUACCACAUCUUCUUCACCAUACAUCCCCAUCUUCAACCUUAGCCGCCGACAAUUCAUCGUCGUCUUUCUAACAUACUCCCUCCGUUUCACCCAGUCCACAACCGUCGCGCCGACACGUGCAAAUCACUCAUCCGACGAGCUCCCUUCACCGACAAAUCCGCCUUCGCACCUUCCGUGAAAGCCGCCGUCUGCCAUCACAAACCACCGCUCAACCGCAACGGCCGCGCCUCUGACCGCACACCACUCACCUCCGUACAACCUCCCAACAACGUAAGGUCUCUCUUCUCUGUCCGUCAACAACCACCUCCGAUCUACUUCUCAAACAAACGCACCAACCAUCAGAAAACCCACAACCUUCUUCUUCACGCACACUUCCGUCAAACCUCCGCCUCCGAAGACACAUUUCACAAGACUACAUCACAGAAGACACAACCAUAAACCACUCCGACGUGAUUCGCAAGACUACAUCAACAUACUACAUAACUUGCUCCUCCUAAAAAAAACACUUCAUUUCUCACAAGUAAGUUGUUUCCAUGCAAAAUCUAUAGCUCCAACAAGCGUUAAUUAUGUAACGAGGUAUGACUGCACAAUUGCUUAUGUGGUAUUAAACAACAUGGAUGUUCAACUGUGAAUAUAACCAGCCGCCGUGAAUGCACAUUAUUUUAAUCCGCGGAGUUGGUAAUCUUAUGUCGUUAUGUCGCCUAAAUUUCAGUAUAUCAAUGGAUUACAUUCACCGUGUUAUGAUCUUGCGGAUGAUAUUAGUCAUGUUGUUAUUUCGCACAAAUCGGUUUGAGCACACCGAUUCAAUUAAGUAAAUCAACAUU